UACGAGGGGAGCUCCGGUUGUUCGGAAUUACUGGGCGUAAAGCGCACGUAGGCGGGCUGAUAAGUCAGGGGUGAAAUCCCGAGGCUCAACCUCGGAACUGCCUUUGAUACUGUUAGUCUUGAGAUCGGGAGAGGUGAGUGGAAUUCCUAGUGUAGAGGUGAAAUUCGUAGAUAUUAGGAAGAACACCAGUGGCGAAGGCGGCUCACUGGCCCGAUACUGACGCUGAGGUGCGAAAGCGUGGGGAGCAAACAGG
rnacentral:rRNA from 1 species